rnacentral:rRNA from 1 species
GACGAACGCUGGCGGCGUGCUUAACACAUGCAAGUCGAACGGAGUGGCGAACGGGUGAGUAACACGUGGGUUACCUGGACUGCACCUCGGGAUAAGCCUGGGAAAAUGGGUCUAAUACCGGAUAGUGUGGGAUGGGCCCGCGGCCUAUGAGCUUGUUGGGGGGGGAAGGGCCUCCCAAGGCGGCGACGGGUAGCCGGCCUGAGAGGGUGGACGGCCACAAUGGGCCUGUGACACGGCCCAGUAUCCUACGGGAGGCAGUAGUGGGGAAUAUUGCACAAUGGUCGGAAGCCAGAGGCAGCGACGCCGCGUGGGGGAUGACGGCCUUCGGGUUGUAAACUCCUUUCACCAUCGACGCGGUAGAUGGAGAAGAAGCACCGGCUAACUACGUGCCAGCAGCCGCGGUAAUAC